rnacentral:rRNA from 1 species
GAUGAACGCUAGCGGCAGGCUUAACACAUGCAAGUCGAGGGGUAACAGAGGUAGCUUGCUACUUGCUGACGACCGGCGCACGGGUGCGUAACGCGUAUAGAAUCUACCUUUUACUGGGGGAUUAGCCUUUGGAAACGAAGAUUAAUACCCCAUAGUAUAUAUGAAUGGCAUCAUUUAUAUAUUAAAGUUUCGGCGGUAGGAGAUGACUAUGCGUUCUAUUAGUUAGUUGGUAAGGUAACGGCUUACCAAGACUACGAUAGAUAGGGGUCCUGAGAGGGAGAUCCCCCACACUGGUACUGAGACACGGACCAG